GACGGAGGGGGCUAGCGUUGUUCGGAAUUACUGGGCGUAAAGCGCGCGUAGGCGGCUUGAUCAGUUGGGCGUGAAAGGCCUGGGCUCAACCCGGGAACUGCGCUCAAUACGGUCAGGCUUGAGUUCGGAAGAGGGUAGUGGAACUCCCAGUGUAGAGGUGAAAUUCGUAGAUAUUGGGAAGAACACCAGUGGCGAAGGCGGCUACCUGGUCCGAGACUGACGCUGAUGCGCGAAAGCGUGGGGAGCAAACAGG
rnacentral:rRNA from 1 species